CAAAACAGAUUUGAAUCCAAGAUGGCUGCCGAAUAGUUUGAAUUGUGCUGUCUCCUAGGUGCUAUUAGUAUUUUUGCUUCCCGUUUGUUAGCAGCAGGACUGUUUGUUGUUAUCAAGAUGGGUUACAAACAAUGUAAGAACAAACAUUUGAUAAUGUAUGGCAGUGUGGAUAGCUUGAAAUAGGUGGGAUAUAGGUUUAUGGUAGGUAGAAUGAGGCUAUGCCAAUGUUGGGGAAGAAUUAGGCAUGGUUGGAAGUGUACCUUGAGGUGUCCCUGGAGCGGCAACUCAUGAUGACUUCUUGGGGCGGCCCCGUUUUCGUUUUGGUGGCUGUGACCUGCUGUGCUGCAACGACUUGAAGUCCUGCAACAAGUUGCAGGACAGCAGGUUUUCCUCGGGUUCCCAGGUGUCGUCGAGUGCUGUGUAUCCUUUCCAUCGGAUUCUGUAUAGUGUCUGGUCCUGGAUAAGUCUAUGGAAACUCACCUCGACAGGAUAGUCCACCUCCUGAAGUAGUUUAAAGCUAUUUUUUGGCAAUUAUUGUAUGGCUCCUUAAAAUUUAAACCUCCAUAAACAGACAAAAACCUGAGCUUUGACCUCAAGCCUGAUCACACCUCUUGGGACUACUUCUCUUGGUGCUCUCCCAACCCUUGCAAGACACAGUUUAGGCCAGAAUUAGUGACAGGUAAUCUUAACAUAUAGCAUGCAGCAAGAUCUAGCAAUGUUAAAUAACAUCACGCAAGCUGUACACCGCUUAUGGAUGUGUUUAUGGGUAUGUCCAUGUAUGUGUGUAAGUAUGUUUGUAUGUAUAUACAUUUGUAUAUAUUUGUAUGUGUGUGUGUGUGCACGUGCGUCUGUUUGUUUGUUUGUUUGUAUGCGUGUAUGAACAUGCUUGUAUGUGAAGGAACAGCAAAUACGAGAUGGCCUGAAUAGAUUGACAUGAUUAUUAAUAUGUUCUGGAUAUCGAGAAUGUUCUUCAAAGCAUGCCUUGGAUAGAAGUACAUGAACAGUCUGUCUGAAUACUUUGUGUGUGUUAAAAAUCAUUUGAAGUUGUUGGAGUAGCUAUCAUUAAACAAUGUAUGGGAUUUAAAUCAAUUUUGGGGAGUAGAAAAAGUGUUUAGUUUUUAGCGUGGUUGGAUUCUGUACAGAAUACUUAAUCCAAGAAACUACUGCGGCUAUUGCUAUACUGAAAUGUAUCAACUUGUUCUAAUGCCAUCUCCAAACAAGUGUGCAUCAAACAACGUACUUUAUUGAACAAUGUCAGGGUGACUCGUAAAGCACUGUUUUCAUUGAGAUUUGGGCCCAUGUUCUUUAGGAAGCUCUUCGCGAAGUUGGGCUGUCGGGUGGGUUGUGUCCGUGUACGAGCUGUGGGGAGGGGACCGGUACUGGGCGGCUGCAAGUCUUUCUUUUCGGGUGGUUAGGCUGACUGCUGGAUGUGUGUCUGGCUUCUCCGGAUGUCGUUGGGCCAUCAAAGCCCUCAAGGUCAAUCGUAUUACCGCACUUAAAUACUUUAGACAAGUGGCCAAGUAGCAUGACCUCUGCACUUGACUCCAUCCCCAAAGGAGUGAUGUAGAUAAGAUAGUCCUGCCAAUUACGUGUGACAAACAUGAGUAGGCAUGUAGUAUAAUACAACAUUAUUGCAUCGUUUAAAAAUGUAAAAGUAAUGCCCAUUUAUUCCGUCAUUCAAUUCAAAUAUAUGUAACAACAGUACAUGUGAUAAACCUGUUAAUUGUGCAUGCGAUAUAUACAGUUAGCAACUUGACUGAGCAGUGUUGUGUUCAAUACAUAAUUUAGUAGUUCACAUUGCAUCUGAUUUAUUAAAGAAUGCAUCGUUGAACAGUUUUGUACAGGUUAUGACGGUGAUAAGAUGUACUGAAUAUAACAUUAAACCUACCGAAGAACUAGACGCUAUACAAACUUUGACGUGCCAGAUAUUUGAUAACGCCUGCAGCGCCAAACGCUCGCCCCACGUGCCCUUUUCUCCCAUCUGGCGUAGGUAUCUCUCCAAGUCCUUCCCAUCCACAGUCAGCCACAUAACAUGCAUCAGGUCACGGCUUUGACAAAAUAGUGCCAGACAGAAAGUCCCAAGAUUGUAACUUACAUAGAAAUGAAUAACUGAGGGGCUUUAUGCAUGGCAAAAUGGUUCAGUGCAUCACUCGACUUCUCGACCCUGUGUGCAUGGGUCAUCUCUUAAGUGAUCCUAGCGAACCCUCCCAGGUAUGACCACAAAGACUCGACUCCCUCCCCAUCAGUGAGGCCAUAGCCCUCGAGUCUUCUGGUGUUGUAUUGGACCUGAAAUAAUACAUACAAAUGUCUAAGAACAAAAAAAAAAACUUAACUGCUGCCGACUAAAAACACUUUGAGGACCUUGACAAACAUGUUAAUGGUAAAAUCAUUUGAAAUCACCUAAACCAUGGUCCAAUUGUUGCUUUUUCUGACAAAGUUGACAGUUUAAUGUCGGACAUUCCAUUAAUAAAGCAUGAACAUUUUUUUGGUAAAAUUUUCGACUUGAAAAUGAAUAAUACCCUUUAAUCUUAUAUGAAAUUAUGUUGAAAUUGAACCAACUUUUUAAGUAAACCGAGCAUAUGAAAUGUCUAACUAUCAUGAUUUUUAUAAAGUCACCUUCAAGUUGUCCGAAAUGUACUAUUGGAACGCCUUUAUGAUUGCCUUAAGUUCUGGCUCAUGGGACAGUGGCAGAUUAAUAACCGUCACACAUAUCGCCCCAACAGAAUAGUCAUUCCUGCGUUUGUCUUGUUGGGACCAAUCUAGGUUUCCCAUUCCAUUGUUGGAAAUCACGCCAAACCUGUCCAUCAAACACAUGUCCUAGUAAUUCCUGAUCGGACAUGGGAUUGACCUUUCCUCCAGGCGUGGUAAUGGAGUUCUUUGCCUCCUCCACGACGGCUACGAAAUGGCGGGUAAAUGCUGACGUUGGUGCUUUGAGGGAUGUAGUCGUCUUCCGUAACCUGUCAUUUCAAAUCCAAGCCGAACAAGUAUGUCCAACACCAGAAGCUGAUGGUAUGCAUUAAUCUUUUCGGGGGCCUUGCACCCCUUCUCACCAUGAAAUUAGCAUCUUCCGCCUUUCCAAGUGUGGAUAUCCCGUGCAUUAUAGUUUCCCAGAUCUGUCAACCUUCUUGCAUACACUUCCGGAUCAAUCCUACUCUGAACAAGUGCCGCAAAAUGAUUGAUCCUCAUUUGUUUCAUACACUUUGGUGUGAGGCAGCCACAGGUGGGUGAUUUUUUUUGUAGUGACACUUGAACCCAUCCAGUUUGUGUAAUGAUGUUUCACCCUUCCCACGCAUUCAGAGAUGGAUAGCAGCAAUGAGAGAGUUCUUUACUUAGUUUACAAGCACAACAGACAUGUUUUGCUGUGAUGUCCCCGAGUGUGGUAAACGCCACCCCCCGACGUCACGUCUCAGCUCCCUCCAGCUUCCAAUCUCUGUCUUUUCCAUGACCUCCAACUGGACCAUGUGAGAAUCACCCGCAGUAGCUGUUUCGGUACAUGCCCACGAAACUGGAGCGCCCCACCAAAACUCUGAUAGCGCUGCCUGAAGGCAAUCCACUCAUCCCUGAUUGCAUGCCUGCCAAUGAGGGUAGGGUUCUUCACUCUCUUCCUUUCUCGCAGCGGCCCCAUCCUCGUCUUCCUGAAUUAUUCAAACAUGCUGUUAUUGCACAUAUUUCCUGAUCCAAGAGAGAGACUCCCUUCUUUUUUAGUUAAGCACAGAACACUAUAAACGCAUAAAUUACGUAUCAUGUUGGUCACGGAGGGAGAUCCGACACGGAGGGCUUGGUCCGAAACGUAUAAUUUGUCCUGUAGUAUACAUACACGCCUGAUCUCCAAGCAGAUGGUACGGUGCAAGCAGAACAUUUUACUUUGACUGAUGCUAGGUACCUGAUUAUUUUUUUAGUCCAGCCGCCCGCACAGGUGAAUACUCAUAGAAUCUGUACAACUGCCCAAGCAGGUCCUUGAAUCUGGAGGUGGGAGAUUCCAUCAGCUCCAUGUGCAGCUGCCAGGGUUAAUCGGUGUGCUAUGCAAUACACAUUCACCAACUUGACUGCGUGUCAUUUUCUACCUGAAGCAAGCGUUGUUUCCUUUUUCUAAUUUCGCUCAUUGGAUUCCUCAUAGUUACUCACCAACUCUCUGUAGCCUCGUAUGUCUCUUGUGAUCAUUUUAUUUACUUGCUUGUUUUGUCACAUGCCGCCUUCUCUUUGCAGCCUCGUGUGUCUCUUCCGCUCUUCGUAUUUUCAUAGACGUUCUGUUGGACUUUAACUCUACAUGAACCUGAGCAAAAAGUUAACAAUGGCAGUUCACUCAGAAUCAGAGUCGUCUGCCCCCUUUUCUUCCUUGAAAGACAGGAACUUGGCAUAAAGCUUCCUGAAUGGCGCACUAAGAUCCUUUUUGUUGUCGUUUGGAUCACAGAUUAAAUGAUGCUCUAUGAACACCAUGGCCGGGGCAAUACAGCUGGGGUGGAGCAGCUGGAAUGUGUACACUGUCCCGACCAUGGUGAGAAACCCCAGCUGCACCCCAUUACAGGUCGUGAUGGGCUGUCCCUGCACGAUUACAUACGUCCUGUUGCCAUCAUCAGUUCGCUUCUCAGCAAGAAAGAUUGCCGUCGUCUUACUCCUGGCAAUCUCCUCUUCAAUGCUGUCAUCCUCCUAAUGAUAAAGAAAAGAAUUAAACUUUUUGAAACAAGGUUAUGUAUUGUCAUUGACUUAAAAAAUAGUUCAUUAACAAACCUUAGUAGGCUGACCUGAAUACACACCAGCUUUUACCAAUACAAUCAAAUGUCUCAAAUGACCACCACAGUUUAAGAUAACUAGUAGUUGGGACAUGUGUACCACGGAGGCGUUGCAGCUGGUCACAGACUGCGGCAAACUGGCAGUUUCCAUCCAUUGGCAUGUUAUUCCCCACCCUGAGGCUCUCCUGUUCAACAUUUGCCAGGGGCUUCUCCCAGUUGAGGUCAAAAACAGUUUGCUCAGCUGAGGGUAGAAGAAAACAUUUAAAGUUAAAUACUGUUAGCUUCCUGGGAGAUAAAUGUUUAAAGAGACACCUUCGCGGAGACACGUGACGAUAAGUUGGGAGACACAUUUGUACAAAACUUUGUUUGGGUCACACAAACCACGUGAAAGCACUCAGCACACAAACAGAAUAUACAGAAAGUGCACACUACAAUAGUCGAAACGUAUAAGUAACUUUUGUAUCAGAAGAAUUUAACGUUUUUAACACACCUCAGGCAACCGUAAUGUCUAAUUAAGUGUACCACUAGAUGUCAAUAGCGAUCUGAGUGUUCAACAUCUCAGAAAAUAACCAUCAGUUAAACAGUAGAUUUCAGUAGUGCUCUGAUUGCUAUUACUAUAUUAGUGGAAAAACAACAAUUUUAAGAAUUUUUCUUACGGGAAAAAAUAUUACAUAGAAACAUAUAAGUACAUAACAGUAGUGAUCGGGUAAACAGUAAAAAA